GUCUUUUUCUGGCUAAGCUUCAGUCACAUCCACCCCAUUUCCACGGAACCUGGGGUGGAAUUAACCCACCUGAACCACAUGCCAGGUACUGCCAGCUAUUAUACUCAACCCUUUGUGUGUAUGAACUCAUUUAAUCCACACGAGACUCCGUGGACCAGCCUGGGCAAAGUAGCAAGACCCCACCCCAUCUCUGCAAAAUGUUUUAUAAGAACUAGCUGGGUGUGGUGGCCCACACACGUAGUCCUAGCUAGGAUCGGGAGGGCGUGCAGUGGGGGCUGGCACAGGAGACGGGAGAGAGCCAGGCAUGAACUUGGCUUCUGCUAGCAGCUGUGGCUCUGACAGGUUUAGGGCUGUUUGAUGAAGUGUGCAUCCCUUAUUUGCAUGCAUUUGGAAGAGGAGGAGGAAGAAGAAAAGAGGAGAAGGCAAAGGAGAGCCUGGGAUGGUAAGAAUCCUGACAUCUAACGACGUUGUUUGUGCCAUGGGCCAUUUUAGCAUGCUGGUAUGUAGCUCUUUCUGAUAAAAAUUCUUUUAAAUGCAUAAAAUACAAUAUACUGGAUAACAAAGGAACAUGGUUAUCAAAAUACUUUAAAAAUCAAAAUUGUUACACAUACAAAUAUGUACGAUUCCAUCAAUGCGUUAAACAAGAUCUAACAUUGGAUCU
rnacentral:lncRNA from 1 species